UUCUAUUCAUUGAACAGGAGAUUGCAUCCAUGCGUGCUACUUGUAAAGAACAGAGAGUCAGGAAUGAGAACUUGAAAAGAAUCAAGGUGAGCUAGACUAACUUUGAUGCACUAAGUUGACAUGAUUAGUAUAGAUUCAUUAAUCAAUAUCUUACGAAAAGAUAGGUUUAAUGAUGGAAAUGUGAACUUACUUGUAUUGCAGCUUGAUUUGAACUUCCAUACUGCAAAGAACUCGAGUUUAAUUGUUGAUGAACCGGAGGAGAAAGUACCUUGUAGUAAAUUUUGCCAGAGAGUACCCUCCUCUCUUGACUACAUUCCCACGACCACCUUGCCAUCACAUUCCCUGGAUGAUCGAAAGCCACUGUUAGAUUCUUGCGAUGCAGGGAAGGCUGAUUCUAGUGGGGACAGUUAUUUCUUACUGCCUGAUCUAAAUAUGAUGCCUGCUGAAGAUGAUUCCGGCACCGAAAUGUUAUAUGGGACUAGCUGAGAAAAGAUGAGCUGACUACUUUACCCCUUCUCGCAGCCAAAGGGUGUGAG
rnacentral:lncRNA from 1 species